UCCUGCUCAGGAUGAACGCUGGCGGCGUGCUUAACACAUGCAAGUCGAACGAUUAAAGCCCCUUCGGGGGUGUAUAGAGUGGCGAACGGGUGAGUAACACGUGGGCAACCUGCCCCUCACUUCGGGAUAACUCAGGGAAACCUGAGCUAAUACCGGAUACUCCUUGCGGAUCACAUGGUCUGCUCGGGAAAGCUCCGACGGUGAGGGAUGGGCCCGCGGCCCAUUAGCUUGUUGGUGAGGUAAUGGCUCACCAAGGCGACGAUGGGUAGCCGAGCUGAGAGGCUGAUCGGCCACACUGGGACUGAGACACGGCCCAGACUCACUACGCGGAGGCAGCAGUGGCGGAAUCUUGCAGCAAUGGGCGAAAGCCUGACGCAGCAACGACCGACGUGCGGGAUGAAGGCCUUCAGGGUUGUAAACCGCUUUCAGCAGGGACGAAAUUGACUGUACCUGCAGAAGAAGCCCCGGCAAAACCCGC
rnacentral:rRNA from 1 species